AAAUAUCAGGGUCAAAAGGCAGAAAGUCGUUCGUGCUUGCACGAUAAGACUUUUGAACUUGGGACCCGCCAAACAUGAGGAAGUAGCGAUUUACGAAGUAAAUCUGCGGAUUCCGAAUGUUUGUAGAAUUGCGGGAGCUACGAAGCAGCGGAGCAAUUCGUAGAUAUCG
rfam:Clostridiales bacterium 42_27 Ley3_66761_scaffold_5321, whole genome shotgun sequence.